UCUCUCUCUCUCUUCUCUAGUGUUGGCCAACACACUCUGUCAGUCUGUCCUUGCCUCUUUUUCUGCUGUUUCACUUCAUUGCACACAGGCAGGUGAGUUAGCUGUGUAUCCCCAGAGGCCAGGUCUCGGGAAGCAUGGCGAAGUAGGAGAGGACGAAAAUAAUGCGGGGAAGUGUGUGUGAGAGUGGAGGCAGGUACUGGAAGGUCUUGUGCACCUGUAGUGUUUUUGGCAGUGAUGGCUCUUCCAUAGGUGGUUUGCUGUUCUUGCAGAGGGCAGCGGAGCAUCUGCAGGAAGCGGACCUGCACAAUCUAGCUGUUUCGCUUUGCAGUGGAGCCGAGGAGCGCUCUUGUAAUGUUGGAGGAGCAGUCGUACUGAGAUUGGUCAGAUGAGAGAUCGGCCAACCUGUGGCAGAGACCAAAGAAGGAGCAGCCACCCGGAGCCCAUCCCUAGGGAUGGAAGCCGGACAAUGAUCUGCAGAUACCACGGAGAAAGAAGUGAACGGUAAGAGCCCACCCCCGUUGUGAGAUGGAAAGCACCAAGAGCCGGGAGACCACAAGUGUUGUCGAUGCCAGCCUAUGGCGAUGCCGUCGAUCUGGGAGUGGAGCAGCCAUCACCAUCAGUGAGAUAAGUGUCUGGUUUGGGGAGGACUCCGGUAACGGCCCAUCUGCCUCCAGGCUGAGACUUGUCAUUAGCUGGGGCUCGGUUUGUAGGAAAAGAUUCCUGACCUGCUGUGGUUAUGAGGGAGACAAGGUCCCCAUUUUCAGGGGCUGGUCUUUUCUCUAUCCACAAACAGUGUGUCCUAUGCAGCAGAAGGUUGGAUCGAGGAGGAUGACUCCAGCUGUUGAGUUUCUUGACUCCAUCCCACAUUU